GAAAAAUCGUUGAGCAAGAGGAGUACACCUAUUGUUUUCUUUCUAGAGAGUCGGGGAUGGUGUGAACCCGAUAAGAAAAGAUUGGUGGAAUGGACUUGCGAGAGGUUUCUUGAACCUAUAGUAGGGAAACCCGGAGUUCCACCGUUAAAAGGAUAGGAUAUCGGACCAUUGGUGUCCCGUAUCUGAAAGAGGAGGCAGGUUUUUUUCUGCUUCAAACAGAGGUGGCACCACGGUUGGAAAAUCGUCCUCUAU
rnacentral:ncRNA from 2 species